UACGUAGGGGGCAAGCGUUGUCCGGAUUUAUUGGGCGUAAAGAGCUCGUAGGUGGUUCGGUAAGUCGGAUGUGAAAUCUCCAGGCUCAACCUGGAGGGGUCAUUCGAUACUGCCGUGACUAGAGUUCGGUAGGGGAGUGUGGAAUUCCUGGUGGAGCGGUGAAAUGCGCAGAUAUCAGGAAGAACACCCGUGGCGAAGGCGGCUCUCUGGUACGUGACUGACGCUGAGGCGCGAAAGCGUGGGGAGCGAACAGG
rnacentral:rRNA from 1 species